GUGCUCACUUUGGCAGCACAUAUACUAAAAUUGGAACGAUACAGAGAAUAUUAGCAUGGCCCCUGCACAAAAAUUAAAAAAAAAAAAAGAUAAUGGAGAAAAUUUA